CCUACGGGUGGCAGCAGUGGGGGAUAUUGCACAAUGGGGGAAACCCUGAUGCAGCGACGCCGCGUGAGUGAAGAAGUACUUCGGUAUGUAAAGCUCUAUCAGUAGGGAAGAAAAUGACAGUAUCUAUCCAAUUAGCCCUGGACAAUAACGAGCCAGCAGCCGCGGCACUACGCCGGGGGCAAGCGUUAUCCGGAUUUACUGGGUGUAAAGGGAGCGUAGUCGGUUGGGUAAGUCUGUUGUGAAAGCCCGGGGUCCAACCCCGGGACUGCUUUUGAAACUGUGUAACUGGAGUGCAGGAGGGGCAGGCGGAAUUCCUGGUGUAGCGGUGAAAUGCGUAGAUAUCAGGAGGAACACCGGCGGCGAAGGCGGCCUGCUGGACUGAAACUGACGUUGAGGCUCGAAAGCGUGGGGAGCAAACAGGAUUAGAUACCCGUGUAGUC
rnacentral:rRNA from 1 species